rnacentral:rRNA from 1 species
AGCUGAUGCAGCCAUGCCGCGUGUGUGAAGAAGNNUUAGGGUUGUAAAGCACUUUCAGCGAGGGGGAAAGGAUUAAAGUUAAUACCUUUAGUCUGUGACGUUACUCGCAGAAGAAGCACCGGCUAACUCCGUGCCAGCAGCCGCGGUAAUACGGAGGGUGCGAGCGUUAAUCGGAAUUACUGGGCGUAAAGCGUGCGUAGGCGGCUACUUAAGUUGGAUGUGAAAGCCCCGGGCUCAACCUGGGAACUGCAUCCAAAACUGGGUGGCUAGAGUGCGAGAGAGGAGUGUGGAAUUUCCUGUGUAGCGGUGAAAUGCGUAGAUAUAGGAAGGAACACCAGUGGCGAAGGCGACACUCUGGCUUGACACUGACGCUGAGGUACGAAAGCGUGGGGAGCAAACAGGAUUAGAUACCCUGGUAGUCCACGCCGUAAACGAUGUCUACUAGUUGUCCGUUGUCUUGUACGAUGGGUAACGCAGCUAACGCGAUAAGUAGACCGCCUGGGGAGUACGGCCGCAAGGUUA